GGCGGACGGGUGAGUAAUACUUAGGAAUCUGCCUAUUAAUGGGGGACAACAUCUCGAAAGGGAUGCUAAUACCGCAUACGCCCUACGGGGGAAAGCAGGGGAUCACUUGUGACCUUGCGUUAAUAGAUGAGCCUAAGUCGGAUUAGCUAGUUGGUGGGGUAAAGGCCUACCAAGGCGACGAUCUGUAGCGGGUCUGAGAGGAUGAUCCGCCACACUGGGACUGAGACACGGCCCAGACUCCUACGGGAGGCAGCAGUGGGGAAUAUUGGACAAUGGGGGGAACCCUGAUCCAGCCAUGCCGCGUGUGUGAAGAAGGCCUUAUGGUUGUAAAGCACUUUAAGCGAGGAGGAGGCUCUUUUGGUUAAUACCCAAGAUGAGUGGACGUUACUCGCAGAAUAAGCACCGGCUAACUCUGUGCCAGCAGCCGCGGUAAUACAGAGGGUGCGAGCGUUAAUCGGAUUUACUGGGCGUAAAGCGUGCGUAGGCGGCUUUUUAAGUCGGAUGUGAAAUCCCCGAGCUUAACUUGGGAAUUGCAUUCGAUACUGGGAAGCUAGAGUAUGGGAGAGGAUGGUAGAAUUCCAGGUGUAGCGGUGAAAUGCGUAGAGAUCUGGAGGAAUACCGAUGGCGAAGGCAGCCAUCUGGCCUAAUACUGACGCUGAGGUACGAAAGCAUGGGGAGCAAACAGGAUUAGAUACCCUGGUAGUCCAUGCCGUAAACGAUGUCUACUAGCCGUUGGGGUCUUUGAGACUUUAGUGGCGCAGCUAACGCGAUAAGUAGACCGCCUGGGGAGUACGGUCGCAAGACUAAAACUCAAAUGAAUUGAC
rnacentral:rRNA from 1 species